UUCCGUACUGCUCCUCUCAGCCGUACGGAUACUUUAGGUACCCACUGUAUACUUUCUAGAUAUCGUAAACUCGACAAGAACAUCCGAUUAUUCAGCGUUGAUCUGCCCUAUCGCAUAUUGAAAUAUCAAAUCAGACUGAACCAUGUCCAUUUAUAUGCCUAGAAAACCUGAUCGGUGUUACUAUAAUAUUUAAUGACAAGAGGAUGAGGCCUAGAUGCUUAAAAAAAAAAGAAAUCGGCAAGAAGACGUCUGCACACGUUCAUCGUGGAUCAUCUGUGAUUGUUAUUGGUAUUAUUUUUUGUAAGUGUAAGUAACCCGUUGGCUGCCACGCCUUUUUCUCCCCAUGUUAGCUCCUUAGCACGGGCGCGCACUGGUCGGUCUCGUGGUUUAUAUGCCAUGGGGUCGGACAUGUUGCACCAGCCCCAGAUUCGCCGUAACGGCGCUGUUAGGCAAUGCACCAUAGGGACACUUUCCCCUUGUUGAUGCGGUGAUGGAUUCUAGAGGUUGUGCAUUCCAUCUUCUCCUGUCACCGUGUCAGCCCGGACUUGUCAGCAAUGGCAAGUCCCACCUUGGUCAUGGAUCCUUCAGACGUGGCACGUAGAGUAGUAGAAGAACAACCUACGGGUUGUAUGGCGUGGCAGCCAACGGAUUAACUUAAGUGUUGUAUGUGUGAUUGUAUGUAUUUUAUGUAUUAAUGACUUAAUGUAUAAUCGAGGAGGAAUUGUGGGUGGAGGUGGGACAACAAAAAUAUAACUUCAUUUUUAACCA